ACUGAAUCAUUUCGGCAUGUUCGGUAUCACUUUCUGGUGUUCUAGUGACCUGGUUAAUUAGAUUAUCAACGACAUUAUCAUGAUCUCCAUUCGGGUUUUCGUCGUGAUGCUAUCGGUCAUCCUUGGUUUGGCAUGUGCAGCACCAGGAUAUUCAUCCCAUAAACACGUGAAGAUUAUUGUGCCAUCAUACCAUCAUACGGUCCAUCAUCAUCACAUUGAAAAAGUUCACGUACCAGUGCAUGUGCCAGUUCCCGUCGUUAAGAAGAUCUUCAUUCCGAUUGAAACCCAUCACAGUCAUCAUGAUAUUCAUGAAGAGGUCCAUGGAGGUUGGUGGUAAUCUAGAAGAAGCGCCAGCUUAUCUGUACAAAGAACAUCCAAAUAAGUGUUUUAGCAGCCAACUUUUGGAAGGAAAGUGCAAGAUGUCUCUACUGCUGUAGCUGUAAGUCUAUGUAGUUCCCUCCAUCUGUGUCCUGCUUAUUACCAGUUAACGUUGCCUAGUUUUAAAUGUCAAUUGUUAGUCUCUAAUUUUUAAGUAAAAAAACAAUUCUAUACUGUUAAA